rnacentral:rRNA from 1 species
AUACGGAGGAUCUGCGCGUUAUCCGGAUUUAUUGGGUUUAAAGGGAGCGUAGGUGGAUUGUUAAGUCAGUUGUGUAAGUUUGCGGCUCAAUCGUAAAAUUGCAGUUGAAACUGGCAGUCUUGAGUACAGUAGAGGUGGGCGGAAUUUGUGGGGCAGCGGUGGAAUGCUUAGAUAUCACGAAGAACUCCGAUUACGAAGGCAGCUCACUAGACUGUUACUGACACUGAUGCUCGAAAGUGUGGGUAUCAAACAGGAUUAGAUACCCUGGUAGUCCACACAGUAAACGAUGAAUACUCGCUGUUUGCGAUAUACAGUAAGCGGCCAAGCGAAAGCAUUAAGUAUUCCACCUGGGGAGUACGCCGGCAACGGUGAAACUCAAAGGAAUUGACGGGG